GACGUAGGGCGCGAGCGUUGUCCGGAUUUAUUGGGCGUAAAGAGCUCGUAGGCGGCUUGUUGCGUCAGCUGUGAAAACCCGCAGCUCAACUGUGGGCUUGCAGCUGAUACGGGCAGGCUUGAGUUCGGUAGGGGAGACUGGAAUUCCUGGUGUAGCGGUGAAAUGCGUAGAUAUCAAGUGGAACACCAGUGGCGAAGGCGAGUCUCUGGACAUUUCCUGACGCUGAGGCACGAAAGCCAGGGGAGCAAACGGG
rnacentral:rRNA from 1 species